UAGGCAUGGGUGGCAUUUUUAAAAAUGCUUGCAGUUUUAAAAAUUCAAGUUUUUAAAUACUCCAGAGUUGCAGAAUAGAUUCUGUGGGGAAAAGAGGGCAUGACUUUUUGAAUUCCAUGUCCCCAAGCCAAGUUUUACAAAGAACCAUCAUUAGCAUUCUGCCCUCUGUGGUACUCAGACUGCCUCUCCAGAGACCCGGUAUAAUUGGAGAAGCAUCAAGGACCCUGAGCCUGCUGACGCUCGUAAAGGAUGAGGAGGAUUGAGCACUCAGGAGGCAGAGGAAGGCAGAUCUCUGGGAGUUUGAGGCCAGCCUAUUACACAGAAAAACCUGUCUCCAGGAAAAAAAAAAAAGGAAAAAUCUUGAAAUGAAAUAAAAUUGGGCCGAUGAGUGGACAUUCUA